UACGUAGGGUGCAAGCGUUGUCCGGAAUUAUUGGGCGUAAAGAGCUCGUAGGCGGUUUGUCGCGUCUGCUGUGAAAACUCGGGGCUUAACCCCGAGCCUGCAGUGGAUACGGGCAGACUAGAGGUAGGUAGGGGAGAAUGGAAUUCCCGGUGUAGCGGCGAAAUGCGCAGAUAUCGGGAGGAACACCGGUGGCGAAGGCGGUUCUCUGGGCCUUACCUGACGCUGAGGAGCGAAAGCGUGGGGAGCGAACAGG
rnacentral:rRNA from 1 species